rnacentral:pre_miRNA from 1 species
AUCCUACUCCCUCCGUUCCAAAUUACUCGUCGCAGAAAUGGAUGUAUCUAGAACUAAAAUACAUCUAGAUACAUCCAUACCCGCGACAAGUAAUUCCGAACAGAGGGAGUGUAUA